CCUACGGGAGGCUGCAGUGGGGAAUAUUGCACAAUGGGGGAAACCCUGAAGCAGCGACGCCGCGUGGGGGAAGAAGGGCCUAGGCGCGUAAAGCCCUGUUAGCAGGGGAGAAAAUGACGGUACCUGAAGAAGAAGCCACGGCUAACUACGUGACAGCAGCCGCGGUAAUACGUAGGGGGCAAGCGUUAUCCGGAUGUACUGGGUGUAAAGGGGGCGCAGACGGGGAUGAAAGACAGGAGUGAAAGCCCGGGGCCCAACCCCAGGACUGCCCUUGGAACUGCCUGGCUAGAGUGCAGGUGGGGCAGGCGGAAUUCGUGGUGUAGCGGUGAAAUGCGUAGAUAUCAGGAAGAACACCGGUGGCGAAGGCAGCCUGCUAGACUGCAACUGACAUUGAUGCCCGAAAGCGUGGGGAGCAAACAGGAUUAGAUACCCCUGUAGUC
rnacentral:rRNA from 1 species